rnacentral:rRNA from 1 species
GACGAACGCUGGCGGCGUGCCUAAUACAUGCAAGUCGAACGAAGUGGCGAACGGGUGAGUAACGCGUAAUCAACCUGCCCUUCAGAGGGGGACAACAGUUGGAAACGACUGCUAAUACCGCAUACUGAAUGAGGGGAUUGCGUCUGAUUAGCUAGUUGGAGGGGUAACGGUCCACCAAGGCGAUGAUCAGUAGCCGGGCUGAGAGGAUGAACGGGCAAAAUGGGAAUGAGACACGGGCCAGACGCCUACGGGAGGCAGCAGGGGGGAAUCUUCCGCAAUGGACGAAAGGCUGACGGAGCAAAGCCGCGGGAGUGAUGACGGCCUUCGGGUUGUAAAGCUCUGUUAAGCGGGACGCGGUACCGGAAUAGAAAGCCACGGCUAACUACGUGCCAGCAGCCGCGGUAAUAC